ACGCACGCUGGCGGCGUGCUUCACCCAUGCCAUUCGCACGGAAAGGCCCUGCUUUUGUGGGGUGCUCGCGUGGCGAACGGGUGAGUAACACGUGAGUAACCUGCCCUUGACUUUGGGAUAACUUCAGGAAACUGGGGCUAAUACCGGAUAGGAGCUCCUGCUGCAUGGUGGGGGUUGGAAAGUUUCGGCGGUUGGGGAUGGACUCGCGGCUUAUCAGCUUGUUGGUGGGGUAGUGGCUUACCAAGGCUUUGACGGGUAGCCGGCCUGAGAGGGUGACCGGCCACAUUGGGACUGAGAUACGGCCCAGACUCCUACGGGAGGCAGCAGUGGGGAAUAUUGCACAAUGGGCGGAAGCCUGAUGCAGCAACGCCGCGUGCGGGAUGACGGCCUUCGGGUUGUAAACCGCUUUCGCCUGUGACGAAGCGUGAGUGACGGUAAUGGGUAAAGAAGCACCGGCUAACUACGUG
rnacentral:rRNA from 1 species